rnacentral:lncRNA from 1 species
GCCAAGUAUUGGAUGUUGACGGGCUCCGUACCACCUUCUGUGGAUUAGAGAAAGUGAUCCAUCUGGGAGGUCACUUAGUGGAGAAUCGUAUAAUUUGGAGGCCUAGUGGGGCAUAGCCUUCAAUGCUGAUAUUUUCUAAUGAAGAUGGUACAUUGGAAAGGACAGUCGGAGCUUCUUUCUUCAAGAAACACGAUCUUUGAGGCCCU